rnacentral:rRNA from 1 species
GAUGAACGCUGGCGGCGUGCUUAACACAUGCAAGUCGAACGGAAAGGCCCAAGCUUGCUUGGGUACUCGAGUGGCGAACGGGUGAGUAACACGUGGGUGAUCUGCCCUGCACUUCGGGAUAAGCCUGGGAAACUGGGUCUAAUACCGGAUAGGACCACUUCUUGGAUGUUGUGGUGGAAAGUUUUUUCGGUCUGGGAUGAGCUCGCGGGGUAUCAGCUUGUUGGUGGGGUAAUGGCCUACCAAGGCGUCGGCGGGUAGCCGGCCUGAGAGAGUGUUCGGCGACAUUGGGACUGAGGUACGGCCCAGACUCCUACGGGAGGCAGCAGGGGGGAAUAUUGCCGGAGGGGCGCAGGCCGGAUGCAGCAGCGCCGCGUGGGGGAUGACGGCCUUCGGGUUGUAGAAUCCUUUCGCUAGGGACGAAGCGUUUUGUGACGGUACCUAGAGAGGAAGCACCGGCUAACUACGUG